ensembl:lncRNA
CUCUCAUUGGCUAGAAAUGACUAGUUACAGGUGAAACGAAACUUAACUCCGACUAUAAGUUGCAGCACAUAGCUUCAGCUCUCACAGUCACAACAGGGGACAAUUAACAGACACGUGCAACUACACUAAAAAGAUGGAACGAGGAAGAGGAAGGACUCUGAGUAUUCUGUUCCUGUUGACACUCUGUCUACAAGCCUUCACUGGUCAAUGCCAAGCCAAUCAGACUGAAGUAUUUUCUUACCCUCUGUCACGCCCUGGUCUAAGUAUUUUGUGUUUUUCUUCAUGUAUUGGGUCAGGCCAGGGUGUGGCAUGGGGUUUUUGUAUUGUGGUGUGUUUUGUCUUGGGGUUUUGGUGUGUAUGUAUUGGGAUUGUAGCUAGUGGGGUUAUCUAGCAAAAUCUAUGGCUGUCUGGAGUGGUUCUCAAUCAGAGGCAGGUGUUUAUCGUUGUCUCUGAUUGGGAACCAUAUUUAGGCAGCCAUAUUCUUUGAGUUUGUCGUGGCUGAUUGUCCUAUGUGUCGUUGUUCCUCGCUCUGUGUUAGUUUACACAAGUAUAGGCUGUUUCGGUUUUCUUUACGUUCUUUGUUUUGUAGUGUUUUGUGUUUAUUCGUGUUUCACGUUGUUCAUUUGACAUGGAUCGCAAUCUACAAGCUGCAUUUUGCUCCGACUAUCCUUCACACCUAGAAAACCGUAACAGAAUCACCCACCACCAACGGACCAAGCAGCGUGUCAACAGGCAGGAGCAGCCCAAAGAGGAGAUGCGCAAUAAGGAUUUCUGGACAUGGGAGGAAAUCCUAAACGGAGAAGGACCCUGGGCUCAGCCUGGAGAAUAUCGCCGCCCCAAAGAAGAACUGGAGGCGGUGAAAGCGGAGAGGCGCCGGUAUGAGGAGGCAGCACGGCGACUCGGAUGGAAGGCUGAGAGUCAGCCCCAAAAAUUUCUUGGGGGGGCUCAGGGAGAGUGUGGCAGAAUCAGGAGUCAGACCUGAGCCAACUCUCCCUGUUUAUCGUGAGGAGCCAAGGAGGAGACCAGAGCCGGUGUUGGAGGUGAGCGAAGCAGAGACUGUGAAGGAGUUAAUGGGGAAAUUGGAGGAGAGAGAAAUGAGGGAGUUGCUGUGUUGGUGCUUUUUGCAUGGAAUUCGCCCGACGGAACGUGUCGGGGAUUUGAUGGCACCUGGGUUAGCGCUCCAUACUCGUCCUGAGGUGCGUGUUAGUCGGCUGGUGAAGUUGGUGCCAGCCUCACGCACCAGGCCUCCUGUGCACAUCCCUAGCCUUGCACGUCCUGUGCCAGCACUGCUCUCAAGAUCUCCAGUAUGCCUUCACGGUCUAGACCAUCCUGUGCCACCUCCACACUCCAGCCCUCCGGUAGCAGCUCCCCGCACCAGGCUUCCUGUGCGUGUUCUCGAUUCAGUGCCACCAGUACCAGCACCACGCAUCAAGCCUACAGUGCGCCUCGCCUCUCCAGCGCUGCCAGAGCCUUUCUCCUCUCCUGCGCUGCUGGAGUCUCCCGCCUGUUCAGCGCUGCCGGAGCCU